rnacentral:rRNA from 1 species
GGGCCCGCACAAGCAGUGGAGUAUGUGGUUUAAUUCGAAGCAACGCGAAGAACCUUACCUGGGCUUGACAUCCUAAGAAUCGCUAAGAGAUUAGCGAGUGCCGCAAGGAGCUUAGAGACAGGUGGUGCAUGGUUGUCGUCAGCUCGUGUCGUGAGAUGUUGGGUUAAGUCCCGCAACGAGCGCAACCCUUACUGUUAGUUGCCAUCAUUAAGUUGGGCACUCUAACGGGACUGCCGGUGACAAAUCGGAGGAAGGUGGGGACGACGUCAAAUCAUCAUGCCCCUUAUGUCCAGGGCUACACACGUACUACAAUGGUGAGAACAACGGGAAGCAAUGCAGUGAUGCGGAGCAAAUCCCCAAAUCUCACCUCAGUUCAGAUUGCAGGCUGCAACUCGCCUGCAUGAAGUCGGAAUUGCUAGUAAUCGCGGAUCAGCAUGCCGCGGUGAAUACGUUCCCGGGCCUU